GUGCCAGCCGCCGCGGUAAUACGUAGGUGGCAAGCGUUGUCCGGAUUUAUUGGGCGUAAAGCGAGCGCAGGCGGUUUCUUAAGUCUGAUGUGAAAGCCUUCGGCUCAACCGAAGAAGUGCAUCGGAAACUGGGAAACUUGAGUGCAGAAGAGGACAGUGGAACUCCAUGUGUAGCGGUGAAAUGCGUAGAUAUAUGGAAGAACACCAGUGGCGAAGGCGGCUGUCUGGUCUGUAACUGACGCUGAGGCUCGAAAGCAUGGGUAGCAAACAGGAUUAGAUACCCUGGUAGUCCAUGCCGUAAACGAUGAGUGCUAGGUGUUGGAGGGUUUCCGCCCUUCAGUGCCGCAGCUAACGCAUUAAGCACUCCGCCUGGGGAGUACGACCGCAAGGUUGAAACUCAAAGGAAUUGACGGGGGCCCGCACAAGCGGUGGAGCAUGUGGUUUAAUUCGAAGCAACGCGAAGAACCUUACCAGGUCUUGACAUCCUUUGACCACUCUAGAGAUAGAGCUUUCCCUUCGGGGACAAAGUGACAGGUGGUGCAUGGUUGUCGUCAGCUCGUGUCGUGAGAUGUUGGGUUAAGUCCCGCAACGAGCGCAACCCUUAUUACUAGUUGCCAGCAUUUAGUUGGGCACUCUAGUGAGACUGCCGGUGACAAACCGGAGGAAGGUGGGGACGACGUCAAAUCAUCAUGCCCCUUAUGACCUGGGCUACACACGUGCUACAAUGGAUGGUACAACGAGUUGCAAGACCGCGAGGUUUAGCUAAUCUCUUAAAACCAUUCUCAGUUCGGAUUGUAGGCUGCAACUCGCCUACAUGAAGCCGGAAUCGCUAGUAAUCGCGGAUCAGCAUGCCGCGGUGAAUACGUUCCCGGGCCUUGUACACACCGCCCGU
rnacentral:rRNA from 1 species